AACGUAGGAGACAAACGUUAUCCGGAGUUACUGGGCGUAAAGGGCGUGUAGGCGGUAUCGUAAGUCUGGCGUGAAAUUUCUCGGCUUAACCGAGGCAGGUCGUCGGAUACUGCGAGGCUAGAGGACGGUAGAGGCGUGUGGAAUUCCGGGUGUAGUGGUGAAAUGCGUAGAGAUCCGGAGGAACACCAGUGGCGAAGGCGACACGCUGGGCCGUACCUGACACUGAUGCGCGACAGCAUGGGGAGCAAACAGG
rnacentral:rRNA from 1 species